CCCCGAAAGGGUAAGUAUUACCCUUUCGGGGACAGUGUAUCAAGUAGCA
rnacentral:sRNA from 12 species